rnacentral:rRNA from 1 species
GAUGAACGCUAGCGGCAGGCCUAAUACAUGCAAGUCGAACGGGAUUAAGAGGCUUGCUUCUUAUGAGAGUGGCGCACGGGUGCGUAACACGUAUGCAACCUACCUUUAACUGGGGGAUAGCCUUCCGAAAGGAAGAUUAAUACCGCAUAAUAUAAUGGAGUGGCAUCACUUUAUUAUCAAACUAUUUGGGUUAAAGAUGGGCAUGCGUCCGAUUAGCUAGUUGGUACGGUAACGGCGUACCAAGGCGACGAUCGGUAGGGGAUCUGAGAGGAUGGCCCCCCACACAGGUACUGAGACACGGACCAGACUCCUACGGGAGGCAGCAGUAAGGAAUAUUGGUCAAUGGACGGAAGUCUGAACCAGCCAUGCCGCGUGCAGGAAGACGGUCCUCUGGAUUGUAAACUGCUUUUGUUAGGGAAGAAACUUCCGUACGUGUACGGGACUGACGGUACCUAAAGAAUAAGGAUCGGCUAACUCCGUACCAGCCGCCGCGGUAAGAC